GCCUGGGUAGCUCAAUUGGUAGAGCAUGAGACUCUUAAUCUCAGGGUUGUGGGUUUGAGCCCCAUGUUGGGUA